AGUGGAGAAGUUUUAUCUCAUCGUUUCACAAGGCAGGUGAGAUUCAACUCCUCCAACUGC
rnacentral:pre_miRNA from 1 species